GUGCAAUAUUCAAAUUAAAUUGAGAAGUUCGAGAUGGACAGAAAUAGGAAUUGUAGAAGAGAAAGAAAGACGAUACUCUUUCCAAAAGCAUAUGAUACUAGCUAAAAGAAUAAAAAGCAUCAGUACUUUGCUAUCCUCCAAAUAAAUCGAGAAAGCAAACAUAAACAUAGACGUAGAAAGAGGUGUUGGACUUGAAGGGGAAAAGAAGUGAUGGAAUAGAGAUUCAACACAAACAAAAGCAAAACAUGGAUUAUAAUUUAAAGCAUCAGCACUUUGCUAUGCCGCAAAUAAAUGGAGAAAGUAAUCAUAGAUUGAAAAACAGGUGUUGGAAAAAAAGAGAGAAGGAAAGAUUCACCACGAAUGAAGCAAAAAUGAAUUAUAAUUUAAAAUGUGACCAUAUUUGCACCUACAGAACAUCACCUAAUCAUUGUACAAGCAAAAUACCUAAUUCUCAAUUAAAACUUGGAUAUGAUCA
rnacentral:misc_RNA from 1 species